GAUGAACGCUGGCGGCGUGCUUAACACAUGCAAGUCGAACGAAGCAUCCAUGAUUGAGACUUCGGUGGAUUGAUUGGAUGACUGAGUGGCGGACGGGUGAGUAACGCGUGGGCAACCUGCCCUGUACAGGGGGACAACAGUUGGAAACGACUGCUAAUACCGCACAACAUUUGAGGGUGCAUCACUCUUGAAUCAAAGGAGCAAUCCGCUGUAAGAUGGCUUCGCGUCCGAUUAGACAGUUGGCGGGGUAACGGCCCACCAAAUCUACGAUCGGUAGCCGGACUGAGAGGUUGAACGGCCACAUUGGGACUGAGACACGGCCCAG
rnacentral:rRNA from 1 species